CUUAUACUCCCUCCGUCCCAAAAUUCUUGUCUUAGAUUAGUCUAGAUACAGAUGUAUCUAAUACCAAAACAUGACUUGAUACAUCCGUAUUUAGACAAAUCUAAGACAAGAAUUUUGGGACGGAGGGAGUAUUUC
rfam:Triticum aestivum genome assembly, contig: Triticum_aestivum_CS42_TGACv1_scaffold_342381_4DL